UUGGUUACCGAGUAUCUAAUUGGGACUGAUUUGUUAAUCCAAUUUAUGAGAAUGGUGGUUCCUCAGUUCUACAGUUAUCUAGCAUAUAUAUGGUAAUCCUUAGCCCUGCAAAAUAGCUGAAGACCAGAAAAAUGGGGUAAGUCAGGACUUGAAGAGAAUGGUAAUGGCUCUGAGGAAGUACACAAUCAUAGAAAGAUUGUGCUGGAAUUCCUCAGGGGUGGCAGUGGUGUAAGUUGGUAGGUGGAGCUUUGAGCCUCUUCAGCUGGAGUAGCUCUGGCUCUAUCUACUAUUGGGCUUCGUUUGUAGAAAGAAUUCCAGUACUUGAAAGGAAAAAGGUUAAAAACCAAUUCAGAGUACUUUUGAUGAGAAGCUUGAAGCUCAGAGAGGUACCCAAAGUAGUGUAGUUAUUAGGAGCAGGGGCCAGGACUAGAAAUAAGAUCUCCUUUCCUAACAAGAAUACUAAAUCUUUUUGAGUCUCAGUAAAUAACUGAGUGGUCUGGGAAGAGUUUUUUAAAAAUGAGGUUAUGGCCUGGUGUAAUGUUGUUACAACUGACCGCAAUGAUUCUAAGUUAACAUGACCAUAUUGAGGCAGGUCUGCUGUGUUGUUCAUGAAGACAGGGAAGUGUGUCUUAGCGCCAUAGCUUUUCAUUCUGUCUCUCUUUCACCACCGUAGGACACUUCAUCCCCUGACCAUGCUGGAUAACUAAUGCUUUACUAUUGACUACCCAUCCCAUUUUCAUGCCUUUAACAUACAAAGAGAAUCUGGAAUUAUAGUCUGUAUUAAAUCAGUGGCCACUCGGAACUGGCACUUUAAAUUCAAAAACAUUAACUGGAUAAUCCUGAUCAGACUGUUGUUCAAAGAGCAUUUUAACUGGGUAACAAAGUAAAUUAACAUUAUAUUUAGAUUUCAUUAUGCUUUUCUUAUAAAGACUGAUUUCCCAUUUUACCUUAGGUAUAUUUGUGAAACUUGUUGCAGAAUGUUUGACUACUUGAAUUCAACAGAACAUAUCAUGUAUUUUGCUUUGUAGACAUUUAUGUCAGUGUCAUUCUCUAAGAAACAAAUAGAGAAGUAGAUAAUCUUCUCUAGACAGAUUUUUUACCUUUUGGAAAAGAAUAUCAAUUUACUUAAAAAUUACAAGCUGUAUUAAGUUGACAUUGGUGGUCAUCAGAAGUCUGGGAGCUAAAGUUUAUUUCAAAAGUCUUAUUAGGUGUAUUUGCAUUUCUUGAGAUAUGGUUUAAAUUCUCUGUCUACUGUUGUAAACACCUCCUUAUUUCAGAUAUCUUUCCUUAAAGUGCCUCAUAGCUUCUCAUGUUGCUGUACCCAUGCAGAAAUGCUGCUGCUCUUUCUUGCCGUUUAUCCAAAUGGGCCUGAAAAUUCAGUGUAGCCACAAUCACUUCUGUCCGUGAAUGCAUGUGGUUUGUAUCCCAGGAGAGCACUUAGUCUGCCUUGCUGUUUGACAUCAAUUGUGAUCUAUAACUGACUGUAAAAUCCCAUAUAUGAUUCCUUCGGCUGUCUGAAAUCUUAGAGCCAUUAAUGGUAAGUCUCUCAUCUACAAUUUGACUGAUAAACUGCUCUUCACAUUGUUCCCAUUUUCUAUUUAUUGUCACAUCAUUUAAUAUGUGCUGUCAGGGUAGCAGGAUUUGUGGCUACUCAUAACUCUGUCACAUCAUUUCUUCUUUACUGACCUGUUAAGUAAAGGAAACGUUUGAUACAUAAAUAAAUACAAGGGCCGGCCUGUGGCUCACUCGGGAGAGUGCGGUGCUGAUAAAUAAAUACAAGAUGGUAUUUAUUCCUAUAUAAGACCUUUAUUCUUAUAUAGGUCCUGUCCCUGCUAUCAAUGGGGCACUGAAGAAAACAGGACUGACUCUUAAGGACAUGGAUUUGGUAGAGGUAAAUGAAGCUUUUGCUCCCCAGUACUUGGCUGUUCAGAAGAGUAUGGAUCUUGACCCAAGUAAAACCAAUGUGAAUGGAGGAGCCAUUGCUUUGGGUCACCCAUUGGGAGGAUCUGGAUCAAGAAUUACCACCCACCUGGUUUAUGAAUUAAGGCGUCGAGGUGGAAAAUACGCUGUUGGCUCAGCUUGCAUUGGAGGUGGCCAAGGUAUUGCAGUCAUCAUUCAGAACACAGCCUGAAGAGACCAAGGACCACUGUGAUCCACUCUGACUUUACUUGGCCAGGUCACAGUAAAACAGGUGACCUUCAGAGCAGCUGCUACAACUGGCCAUGAACUGCCACUGAAAUAGCGAUUAAGUUUGAUCAAGCCAUGGCGAGGCAAAAAUGAAUUUAUCAUGAAUAAGAGCCCGUGCCAGAAGUAGGUUCUUUCAGAUUUGUACCAAAUAUAAUGUAUCUCUGAACAAAAAUUCAUAGAAUGCCUUAAAAGAAAUUGUAUCCUUGCCAAAUAACCACCACUUAUACCUUAGGUAAUAUAAUUACAAGGAAGUGGAAUAAAUGUUGCCUUAACUUUGGCUAAUCUUUUGCUGUUUUUUAUUGUAUUAAAAAAAUUUAAUUGUGGUAAAAUUCACUUUACAUAAAAUUUACCAUCCUAACCUUUCUUAAGUGUAGAGUUUAGCACAUUAAGUAACAAUCACAUUGUUGCAAACAUCACCACUAUCUAUCUUCAAAACUUUUUCAUUAUUGCAAACUAAAACUCUGUACCCAUUAAGCAAUAACCCCUC